AGUGAACGCUGGCGGUAGGCCUAACACAUGCAAGUCGAACGGCAGCACAGUAAGAGCUUGCUCUUACGGGUGGCGAGUGGCGGACGGGUGAGGAAUACAUCGGAAUCUACUUUUUCGUGGGGGAUAACGUAGGGAAACUUACGCUAAUACCGCAUACGACCUACAGGUGAAAGCAGGGGAUCUUCGGACCUUGCGCGAUUGAAUGAGCCGAUGUCGGAUUAGCUAGUUGGCGGGGUAAAGGCCCACCAAGGCGACGAUCCGUAGCUGGUCUGAGAGGAUGAUCAGCCACACUGGAACUGAGACACGGUCCAGACUCGUACGGGAGGCAGCAGUGGGGAAUAUUGGACAAUGGGCGCAAGCCUGAUCCAGCCAUACCGCGUGGGUGAAGAAGGCCUUCGGGUUGUAAAGCCCUUUUGUUGGGAAAGAAAAGCAGCAGGUUAAUACCCCGCUGUUCUGACGGUACCCAAAGAAUAAGCACCGGCUAACUUCGUG
rnacentral:rRNA from 1 species